CCUACGGGAGGCAGCAGUGAGGAAUAUUGGACAAUGGGCGGGAGCCUGAUCCAGCCAUGCCGCGUGCAGGAAGACUGCCCUAUGGGUUGUAAACUGCUUUUAUACGGGAAGAAACCUCCCCUCGUGAGGGGAGCUGACGGUAC
rnacentral:rRNA from 1 species